CCUACGGGCGGCAGCAGUGAGGAAUAUUGGUCAAUGGGCGUAAGCCUGAACCAGCCAAGUCGCGUGAGGGAUGAAGGUUCUAUGGAUCGUAAACCUCUUUUAUAAGGGAAUAAAGUGUGGGACGUGUCCGAUUUUGUAUGUACCUUAUGAAUAAGGAUCGGCUAACUCCGUGCCAGCAGCCGCGGUAAUACGGAGGAUCCGAGCGUUAUCCGGAUUUAUUGGGGUUAAAGGGUGCGUAGGCGGGCUUUUAAGUCAGCGGUGAAAGUCUGGGGCUCACCCAUAGAAUUGCCGUUGAAACUGGGGGGCUUGAGUAUGUUUGAGGCAGGCGGACUGCGUGGUGUAGCGGUGAAAUGCUUAGAUAUCCCGCAGAACCCCGAUUGCGAAGGCAGCCUGCCAAGCCAUGACUGACGCUGAUGCACGAAAGCGUGGGGAUCAAACAGGAUUAGAUACCCGUGUAGUC
rnacentral:rRNA from 1 species